CCAAUUUAAAGCCAAAUAAGUAUAUAACAUCAAAGCUUCUUAAUACGCUCGAAUGUAUCAGCAUGCAAGAAGGACUGGGAAAACAAUUUACAAAUUCAUCACUUCGAACAGGUACCAGUAUAUGAGAAAUAAUUCUCCUUCCGACAGUUUAAAAUUUAAAAAAAAUAAAAAAAUCGCGAACGUAAUAUAUCUACAUGAAAUCAAUCACCAC
rnacentral:lncRNA from 1 species